CUCUCCUGCGCCUCCUCCUCGCUCUGUGCGUGCUCUCUCGCUCUCUCUCUCCCUCUCUCCCUCCCUCCCUUCUCUCUCGUUCUCUCUCUCUCUCUCUCCCUCUUUCCCUCCUCCUCUCUGCUCCUGUCAUUCUUGGUUGCUUUUGCUGCCUCUCUGUGUCUCUUUCCGUCUGUCCUCCCUUCUGUCUCUGCACAUCUGUCCUUCCUUUCGCCCUCUCCCUAUCUCCAUCCUCUUUCUCUGCCUGUGGGGCAUUAUCUGUGUCUCCCAUUUAUUCUUCCCUUUUCUCUGUUUCUCUCCCUCCCUUCCUGUCUCUGUGUCUCUGUUCUUCCUCUCUCUCGCUUUCUCCUCCCCUCUCUCCCCGAACCAGUCAGGGUCUGCCCGUCUCUCUCUCCCCCUUCCUGCUCUCCCAGCUUCGCCCCCACCAGCUUUAGUAUCUCCACCCCCCACCCCCACCCACUGGGGGCUCAAAGGUGAAUCAGACCCGAAUCUGCCCUUGCAGAUGGAGCUCACAGUCUGAUGGAAGAGACAGAGCCAGCCGCAGACAGUCCCAAUCCCGGGUGAUCUGGGUAUGACACAGGGAGAGGCCAGAGGCUGUGAGAGCCCAGGGCGGGAGGAAUCCUGGCAGCUGGAGACGGCAGAGAGGACCUCCAGAGAAGGCGUGGUUGUGGCAUGACCUCCACUAAGGCCCUUCCAGGCAGAGGGCACAGCUGAAGCGAAGGCCCAAGGCAGGAAACCAAGGAGGUGCUGGGAGGACAACAAAGCCCUUAAGUCUGACUAGAGCCUCCGAAGCCAGGAGCCAAGGAGCACAGGAGAUGAGGCUGGUGGGGCGAGCGGGCGGGGUCAGAUUCUUAGGGAGUUUCAGGCCAGGCUGGGAACUUAGCCUUCUGAGGGUGACAGGGAGCCCUGGAAGGUUGUGAGCAAGGGGCGGGGACACGGUUAUAGCUGAAUGUCAGACCCCGCUGAGGCUGUGUGGAGUGGAGGGGGAGAGACGGGUGGAGGCUGGGGAGGAGGCCCCCUCCCUGCAGUUUGCGGGCUAGGACCUGGGGAGAGAGGAAGGGGUGGGGCAGGAAUGUGAGGAGCUGGAGAUGGCUGGAGACUGCUGGGCACUGGGGGCAGAGAACAGGAACCUGUGGGCGGGAAACAGGUAGGAAAACUACAACUCCCUGAGUCUGGCCCAGGAACGGAUGGGGCAGGAGUUGCUUUCAAUGGGGAACUAGGAGGAAGAAGAGGGUAGAGGAGAGAGAUGCUGUGGGCAUCUGAGAACUUAGUGGACAUUAAGAGCCAGGGAAAACGUUCAGGAUGCAUGGUGCUGGGCUUUCAACAGUGCAUCUCCCUCCCUCCCUAUCCUCCAGCCACCCAGUUCUCCUCUCUGGGGACAGCAUAUAUUCACUAAUUUCUUAUGUAUCUUUCCAGAGGAAUUUUAUACAUCUAUGCACAUAUAUACCACCCUCCUCUUUUCUGUCCCCUGAUAGGAUCACAUUAUUCUGCACCUUGGUUUUUUUUUUUUUUUUUACAUGAUAUCCAAAGAUCCUCCCAUAUCUAGGCUUAUAGAACCUCCUCAUUCAUUUUAAUAGUGAUAUAAUAUUCCAUUGUAUUCAUCUAUUUAUUCCUAGUGUAUUCAGUUAAUUGGGAGAUUGGGAGGUUUUUUAUGUCAAGAAACUAAUGGUUAUGCAUAUUGAUAUUUACAGAUUUGCUUAUGUAUGUAUGUAUGUAUGUAUGUAUGUAUGUAUGUAUGUAUGUAUUUAUUUUUGAGACGGAUUGCCCAGGCUGGAGUGCAGUGGCAUUAUCUCAGAUCACUGCAACCUCUGCCUUCCAGGUUCAAGCCAUUCUCCCACCUCAGCCUCCCACGUGGUUGGAACUACAGGCCUGCGCCACCAGGCCCGGCUAAUUUUUGUGUAUUCUGUAGAGAUGGGGUUUUGCCACGUUUGCUGGACUGGUCUUGAACUUCUGACCUCAAGUGAUCCUCCCACCUUGGCUGAGCCACCACACCUGGCCCAAAUUUGCUGAUUUUUAAAGUGAUUUUGUCCAAUGCUUUUAAGCCUCUAAACCCAGAUAUUCGAUAAAUGCUUACUUCUAGAUCCUUUAAAAUUUGUUGAUAAUUACUAACAAUGGGAUAAUAAUAAUGACAACAGAUACCCUUUAUUGAAUGACUACUUGGAGCCAGUUCCUGGGAUGAGUAUUUGUUAUACAUUAUAUCAUUGAUUACACAGAAACCUUAUUAUUAGAAACUAUUAUUAUCCCAAUUGUAAGGAUGGAAUACUGAAUAGGAUGCAGUUCUGAAUAGCGAGUUGCCCAAGCUCACAAAGUAUGUGAUGGAGCUAGAGAUUCAAACCCAGGCCUCUCUGGCUCCUUCUUUGGGGUGGGCUUGCUCUGGGAAAAUAUGCUAUUUCUAAGGAUUGACACUGGGUACAUUUAAACUUGUCAUGCACACAAAUUCAUGUAUGAUUAAGAAGGACCCUUUGUCAGACCCCUCACUUUCACUUACGAUCUAGAGUUACUGUCAUUCUACAUUCACCCUGGAUGCCCUGUAGACAGAUCAGGACAGGCACCACAUCACAGUCCUUGUCCUGGCCCUGAUCCUGUUGUGUUGUGAUUUUCUACGUCUGGGUCUGUCUUUGGGAAUUUACUGAGGGCACAGUCUGGGUCUGAGUCAUUUCUGUGUCCUCAAUAUCACUCCACCCAGGCAUGGCUCAGAGCAGGGGCUCAGGAAAAUGUUUGCUAAGUGAAUGAAUGAGGAGAUGAGUGAAUAAUAAAUGACUUGUGGAUUAGGCUGGGACUUGCUUAAGCCCCCCAGGAACAGUGACCAUAAUUCCCAUUAGUUUCUGAAACAUAAGGCCUCUGUUCUGUUCUCAUCAGUUAGCAAGUCACAGGGACCACUGGUUCCUUCAUUCUCUGAAAUACAGGGCUCCAAAUCUCUCAGCACAUAAGACUCAUCUACUGCAAUUCCUACAAAUAUCCAGAACUCAGGAUCCAUCAUUGCCUUCACUCCCUGAAACAGGGGGCCACCAUUCCCAUCAGACAUUGGCACACAAGUACAGGUUGAGCAUCCUUAAUGCAAAAAUCUCGAAUCUGAAAUGCUCCAAAAUCAAAAACUUUUUGAGCACCGACGUAACGUCAGAAGUGAAAAAUUUCAUUCCAUCACUUGAUCUCAUGUGAUAGAUUGCAGUCAAAACUUUGUUUCAUGGGGCUGGGCACAGUGGCUUAUGCCUGUAAUCCAGCUGUUUGGGAGGCUAAGGCAGGAGGAUCACUUGAGCCCAGGAAUUUGAGACCAGCCUGGGCAACAUAGUGGGAUUCCCAUCUCUACAAUAAAAAAAUUUAAAACUUAGCAGGGCAUGGUGAUGCAUGCUUCUUCUCCCAGCUACUAGGGAGGCUGAGGUGGGAGGAUUGCUUAAGCCCAGGAAGUUGAGGCUGCACUCCAGCCUGGUUGAUAGAGUGAGACCCUGUCUUAAAACAAACAAAAAACCUUGUUUCAUGCACAAAAAUAUUGUAUAAAAUUAUCUUCAGGCUAUGUGUAGAAGGCAUAUAUAAAUGAAAUGAAAACAAAUGAAUUUUGUGUUUGGACUUGGGUCUCAUCCCCAAAUAUCUGAUUUUAUAUAUAUGAAAAUAGUCCAAAAUACAAAAUAAAAAAAUCAAACCUGAAACACUUUCUGUCUCAAGUAUUUUGGAUAAGGGAUGCUCAACCUAUAUCACCAUCUUUAUCAGUCUCUGCUACCCAAUAUUGUAAUUCUCAUACUUCUUAGACACAGGGGCCACCAUUCUCAUCAACUGCUGAAACUCAAGUUCCACUAUUAUUACCUCUUGGAACAGCACUUCAAAGGAAAAUAGAAACUUCCUACCCUUCACAAGGUCAUCCCAAGUUCCUGAAACAGGAACUGGUAGACAGGAGGACACCUUAACCUACCUUGAAUUAGGUCUGAGUCAAGGACUUACACGUUGAUACUAUAGAACAGGCGGCACCGGGUCAUGAGGAACAUCAAAGUAGCAGAGAAUCCUUCCAUGUGAGGGAUCAACCCUAAAACCAAGAUAAUCCGAUAGCACCACCAGACAAUCCUUCCAUGUGGGGGGAUCAACCCCAAACCCAAGAUAAUCCUAGAGCACCACAUAAUCCCUGCAGGUGGGAUAAUCCCCACACUGGCAGAGCCUAAAAUCACGAGAUGAUCUAAAUCAAGCUUGUCCAACCCACAGCCCAUGGGCCUCAUGUGGCCCAGGAUGGCUUUGAAUGUGGCCCAACACACAUUCAUAAACUUUCUUAAAACAUUGAGGUUUUGGGUUUUUUUUGCAAAUUUUUUUAAGCUCAUCAGCUAUCAUUAGUGUUAAUGUAUUUUAUGUGCAGCCCAAGACAAUUCUUCCAGUUUGGCCCAGGGAAGCUGAAAGAUUGGACACCCCUGAACUAAAAGCAGCAGAUUCUCCUAUUACACCAUUAAAUAACCCCAAAUGGUAAUUUGCCCCUGGUGGACUUGUAGGAAGUAGAGACAGGGUCCCCAUUGUUGUCGGGUCUGGGCUGGGGGAAGUGGGGAGGCAACAGAUCUCAUUUCCACAAUUAAUUAUUUUCUGAACAAAGGGCAUGGGAAAAUGGGUGUGAUGUUUUGGGGAGGGUUUCCCUAUAGCCUUUCUCUUCACCUUGGGCCAUACCUUCUUUUUGUUUGAUGAGUGAAGGACCUUCAGCUGCUCUGCUGUUUACAUCUAAGAAAAAGGUAGGGAAGGUUACACUGAGGUUCAAGGAGACAGACUAGUUAUAGUUUUUGCAAGUCCGUCAGCUGCCAUCUCCUCCUACCUCUGAUAAUAGAUCAUCUCUUUCCUUUAAGUAACCCACUCCACAUGACUCUGACAAGAAUGUCCAAGCACUGAUGCCCCUCCUUCUCCCCCCAAAAAAACCUAGUCUGGGCAUCUGGGUAUAUGACACAAAAUAGGCCAACCAGAAUAUUUAUCAUUCAUUGUCUGUGAGCCCUGACAGAGCUGGUUAGAAUCCAAGAUUUUAUUUUUGAUCUUGAUACUUUAAUUUUAUGUCUUCUAAAAUAUAAAUGUAUACAUAUGCAUUUGUACACAUAUAUAUUGUUUUAGUUUCUGAAGAACAGAGUCAUACUACAUAUGCCAAGGUGAUUAAGAGCACAGAUUCUGAAGCCCGAUGGCUCAGGUUUGAAUCCUGGCUCAGCCAUUUUACUAGCUAUGUCUCUCUAUGUCUCAGUUUCAUCAUCAGUAAAAUGGGUGUAAUAAUAAUAGUACCUAUAUCAUGGGUUGAGACAUAAGGAUUAAAGGAGUUAAUGUAUGGAAAGUGCUUAAAACAGUGCCUGGCACACAAUAAACCAUAUAAAAGAAUUAUCGAAUGUUAUGCCUACAAAUUAAUACAGAGCUAGCUCUUUAUUCUAAUUUAUUCAUACACAUGCACAGAAUUUUAUAUUAACAGGGCAAUUUAUUCUUAUGAAGGUAUUUUUACUGUAUUCUUUCCCAUCCUCAUUUAUUUUUUUCUUUGGUUACCUUGAUUGACCCCUCCCUUCCUACCCAUUCACCAGGUGCUUCUCCUCCCAAAGUUAUCUGUCAUACCUGUUGUGAGUUAAAUUGUGUCCCCACCCCACCAAAUAUAUAUGUUAAAGUUUGAAUCCCCUGUACCUGUGAAUGUGACCUUCUUUGAGAGCCUUUACAGAUGUAAUCAAGUUAAAAUGAAGGCAUACUGGAUUAGAGUGGGCCCUAAAUCCAAUGACUGGUAAUCUGAUAAGGAGAGAGAUAUUUGAAGAUGCAGAUAAAAUACUUGGGAAGAAGGCCAUGUGAUGAUGGAGGCAGAGAGAUUCAAGUGAUGCAUCUACAAGCCAAGAAACACCAAGGAUGACUGGCAACCACCAGAAGCUAGAACAAGAAACCAAGGGGCCUACAGAGGAAGCUGGUCCUGCUGAUACCUUCAUUUCUAACUUCUAGCCUCCACAUCUGCGAGAGAAUACAUUUCUGUUUUUGCUUGUUUGUUUUGAGGUGGAGUCUCCCUCUGCCACCCAGGCUGGAGUGCAGUGGCAUGAUCUUGGCUCACUGCAGUCUCCACCUCCUGGGCUCAAGUGAGUCUCCUGCCUCAGCCUCCCAAGUAGCUGGGACUACAGUCACCUGCCACCAUGCCUGGCUAAUUUUCGUAUUUUUAGUAGAGACAGGAUCUUACCAUGUUGGCUAGGCUGGUCUCAAACGCCUGACCUCAAGUGAUCUGCCCGCCCUCAGUCUCCCAAAGUACUGGGAUUACAGGCAUGAUACACUGUGCCCGGAUAAUUUCUGUUGUUUUAAGCUGCUCAGUUUAUAAUACUUUAUUACAACAGCCCUAGAAAACCAAUAUAGUAUCCAUG
rnacentral:lncRNA from 1 species